CCUACGGGUGGCUGCAGUGAGGAAUAUUGGUCAAUGGUCGUAGGACUGAACCAGCCAAGUAGCGUGCGGGAUGACGGCCCUAUGGAUUGUAAACUGCUUUUAUGCGGGGGUAAAGUGCGUCACGUGUGAUGUUUUGUGAGUACCGGAUGAAUAAGGACCGGCUAAUUCCGUGCCAGCAGCCGCGGUAAUACGGAGGGUGCGGGGGUUAUCCGGAUUUAUUGGGUUUAAAGGGAGCGUAGGCGGAAUGUUAAGCCUGCGGUAAAAUUUCGGGGUUCAACCCCGCCGUGCCGUUGCAACUGGCGUGCUUGAGUGAGCGAGAAGUAUGCGGAAUGCGUGGUGUAGCGGUGAAAUGCUUAGAUAUCACGAAGAACUCCGAUUGCGAAGGCAGCAUACGGGCGCUCUACUGACGCUCAUGCACGAAGGCGUGGGUAUCGAACAGGAUUAGAUACCCCGGUAGUC
rnacentral:rRNA from 1 species